rnacentral:rRNA from 1 species
GAUGAACGCUGGCGGCGUGCCUAAUACAUGCAAGUCGAGCGAACAGACGAGGAGCUUGCUCCUCUGACGUUAGCGGCGGACGGGUGAGUAACACGUGGAUAACCUACCUAUAAGACUGGGAUAACUUCGGGAAACCGGAGCUAAUACCGGAUAAUAUAUUGAACCGCAUGGUUCAAUAGUGAAAGACGGUUUUGCUGUCACUUAUAGAUGGAUCCGCGCCGCAUUAGCUAGUUGGUAAGGUAACGGCUUAUCAAGGCAACGAUGCGUAGCCGACCUGAGAGGGUGAUCGACCACACUGGAACUGAGACACGGUCCAGACUCCUACGGGAAGCAGCAGUAGGGAAUCUUCCGCAAUGGGCGAAAGCCUGACGGAGCAACGCCGCGUGAGUGAUGAAGGUCUUCGGAUCGUAAAACUCUGUUAUUAGGGAAGAACAAAUGUGUAAGUAACUAUGCACGUCUUGACGGUACCUAAUCAGAAAGCCACGGCUAACUACGUG